CGUUGUUUUGCCAUGUUGUUGUUUUGUGUGUUAUGUGUGGUGAAACAAAUAAUGUUGUAUCAGGUUUUGUUUCUGGUGAAAAGCUUUUAUCAUCCUUCUUAACCAUCUCUAUUACCUUUUCUUAUGAUCUACGGGAUGUGCGUCAGGCACUGCAGCUUUUAGAAGGUAGGGCGUUAUCAUUAUUUUCAUACAUAUAAACUAGAGCCUACACAACGAAACAGUAACAAAUCAUAAUGAGGAAAAUAUUUUCAAAACGGCCUGGUUCAGAUAGCUUUUUAGUUACACGAAUACACAGUAGAAGUACAAUGAAUUACUCCAGAAUCUUUCACUUCUGUUUUUGCAUCAAAACACUGUGAUAAUUGAGUAAUUCGGUAUCAAUUCAUAACAUCCGGAAAGUCAAGGCAUGGUUUAUUGAAUAGGGGCUUCAGAUUCUGGACUGGUCAGCUUGUUUACCAAAUCAAAACACUAUCAAAAACUUAUGAGGAGUGAUAGUACGAAAAGGAGAUGCAGCUUACAAGCAGUAUAAGCGACUCGAAGAGCUUGAACGAGCAGUAUCCUCUGCGUUGAACGAGAUACACUCUAUAACCUGGCACAGCUUGGUCAAAACCAUCCGGAAGGGUUAUUUGAACUGAUUGAGA